rnacentral:rRNA from 1 species
AGAGUUUGAUCCUGGCUCAGGACGAACGCUGGCGGCGUGCCUAAUACAUGCAAGUCGAGCGAAUCAUUGGGAGCUUGCUCCCAUUGGUUAGCGGCGGACGGGUGAGUAACACGUGGGCAACCUGCCUGUAAGACUGGGAUAACACCGGGAAACCGGUGCUAAUACCGGAUAAUCCUUUUCUACACAUGUAGGAAAGCUGAAAGACGGUUUCGGCUGUCACUUACAGAUGGGCCCGCGGCGCAUUAGCUAGUUGGUGAGGUAACGGCUCACCAAGGCGACGAUGCGUAGCCGACCUGAGAGGGUGAUCGGCCACACUGGGACUGAGACACGGCCCAGACUCCUACGGGAGGCAGCAGUAGGGAAUCUUCCACAAUGGACGAAAGUCUGAUGGAGCAACGCCGCGUGAGCGAUGAAGGCCUUCGGGUCGUAAAGCUCUGUUGUUAGGGAAGAACAAGUACCGGAGUAACUGCCGGUACCUUGACGGUACCUAACCAGAAAGCCACGGCUAACUACGUGCCAGCAGCCGCGGUAAUACGUAGGUGGCAAGCGUUGUCCGGAAUUAUUGGGCGUAAAGCGCGCGCAGGCGGUCCUUUAAGUCUGAUGUGAAAGCCCACGGCUCAACCGUGGAGGGUCAUUGGAAACUGGGGGACUUGAGUGCAGAAGAGGAAAGCGGAAUUCCACGUGUAGCGGUGAAAUGCGUAGAGAUGUGGAGGAACACCAGUGGCGAAGGCGGCUUUCUGGUCUGUAACUGACGCUGAGGCGCGAAAGCGUGGGGAGCAAACAGGAUUAGAUACCCUGGUAGUCCACGCCGUAAACGAUGAGUGCUAAGUGUUAGAGGGUUUCCGCCCUUUAGUGCUGCAGCUAACGCAUUAAGCACUCCGCCUGGGGAGUACGGCCGCAAGGCUGAAACUCAAAGGAAUUGACGG